UCAUAUGGUAUAGGUGCAGGUGGUGGCCUGUAAGUGUCUGGAAUUGAAGAUUCAAGAUUUGGAUCAACUAAAAAACCCGUAGAGAGCACAAUCGAUGUGCCAGUAUGGGAGGACAAAGGCUGAUGCUCCUCUAACACUCUUGGAUACUGUAGUGAAUUGUAUAUUGUAGCUUCCGCCAAGGCCAGUUCCUCACACAACUGAAAAUACAAGGAAAGCGAAUCAAAUAAAGGUCGUAAUAUUGGCGGAGACGACUGCCAGGCAUCUUCAUCUUCUGCUACAAAUCAAUCAUUCCAU